AGCGAAGGCAACUCAUGUAAGCUGAAGGAAAGCAGCCUACCUCUCGGGAAUCGCCGCCAAGGUCCUGAUCCCUUUACGCUCAGCCAGCCAAGGCGCUCCUACCCAGGGAGAUCGGAUCACUCAUUCUGGAAAUGCAGCCACCUUGUCAGCAACUAACGGCAAUGCCAAAACAAGAUGGGGACAAGCAGUGGAGUGUACGGUCUCCAAAUUAAACUGCACAGAGACUUCUAGGGAAACGCAAUGUACCUGUGGGCCAACCUGUCUGGAAAGAGCCACCGUCAUUUCUAUGGACCUGAAAUCAGGAUUUAACUUACACAUUGCAAGAAGAGAAUUUGAGGGAUAACAACUGUGUAUUAGCAAACAUGUUCACCUGAGCUAUGGACGGAGCCAUUAUGUAAUCUUUUAGACUACUGCUAGAACCUAUCUAGGGGCUUGGAAACUCGCACUCUGUCGCUUCUCUCCACCCAUUGGCACCCUAUAUAAUCUAUUGUAAUCAAUUGUUUAGCAGUGUCUUACUGAGCCUAAUAAGCAAAGUGACACUCCGACAGCACUGUGUGUAAUAAAUCCUCGUGCUUGACUGUACAUGGUGUCGAACUUCCAUUCCUUCACUAGGCCAUCCCUUUCAGGUGUUUGGCUAACCUGUUCUUAAAACUCUCCAACGAUGGGGAUUCCACAAUCACCCUUGGAAGUCUCUUUCAGAACUUAACUACCCUUACAGUUGGAAAGUUUCUCCUAUUGUCUAACCUAAUGCUAUGGCUACACUGCACACCAUACAGCAGCGUCGCUGUAAGGUAUGCAGUGUAGCUGUUCUUUGUUUCUCCUGCUGACAAAAUAAAGCCAUCCCCCUCGAGAGAUGGUAUCUUUGUGGGUGGGAGAGUGUCUCCCGCCAACAAAGCACUGUCCACACUGGCGCUUUUUGUCAGUAAAACUUUUGUUGGUCAGGGGUGUGUGUUUUUUUUCAGACCCUCUACCAACAAAAGUUUUACUGGCAAAAGUGCAGUGUAGACAAUCCCCAGUAUCAAAGAUGUAGGCUAAGCCCACUACUUCUUGUCCUACCUUCAGUAGAUAGGGAGAACAAAUUAUCACAGUCCUCUUUAUAACAGCCCUUAACAUAUCUGAAGACUUAUCAAAGUCCCUCAGUCUUCUUUUCUUAAGAAACACAACCAGUUUUUUUUUUUUAACCUUUCAUUGCUCCCCUCUGCAUUCCUUCCCAUUUGUCCGCAUUUUUCCUAAAGUGUGGCACCCAGAAUUCGGCACAGUUCUCUGGCUCAGCAGUGAGGGACAGUUACCUCCUAUCUGACAUACAACACUCCCUGUUAAUA